UACAGAGACUGCAAGCGUUGUUCGGAUUCAUUGGGCGUAAAGGGUCCGUAGGCGGUCGGUUAAGUCGGAUGUGAAAUCUCGUGGCCUAACCACGAGCGGUCAUUCGAAACUAAUCGGCUAGAGGGCUGGAGAGGAGACUGGAAUUGUCGGUGUAGCGGUGAAAUGCGUAGAGAUCGACAAGAACACCGGUGGCGAAGGCGGGUCUCUGGACAGUUCCUGACGCUGAGGGACGAAAGCUAGGGGAGCAAACGGG
rnacentral:rRNA from 1 species